GAUGAACGCUGGCUACAGGCUUAACACAUGCAAGUCGAGGGGAAACGACGGGGAAGCUUGCUUCCCCGGGCGUCGACCGGCGCACGGGUGAGUAACGCGUAUCCAACCUGCCUCUGACUGAGGGAUAACCCGUCGAAAGUCGGCCUAAUACCUCAUGGCAUCGUCUGCGGGCAUCCAACGACGAUUAAAGAUUUCAUCGGUCAGAGAUGGGGAUGCGUCUGAUUAGCUUGGUGGCGGGGUAACGGCCCACCAAGGCGACGAUCAGUAGGGGUUCUGAGAGGAAGGUCCCCCACAGUGGAACUGAGACACGGUCCAAACUCCUACGGGAGGCAGCAGUGAGGAAUAUUGGUCAAUGGGCGAGAGCCUGAACCAGCCAAGUAGCGUGCAGGAUGACGGCCCUAUGGGUUGUAAACUGCUUUUAUGCGGGGAUAAAGUGAGGGACGUGUCCUUCAUUGCAGGUACCGCAUGAAUAAGGACCGGCUAAUUCCGUG
rnacentral:rRNA from 1 species